AGGGUGAACGCUGGCGGCGCGCUUAAUGCAUGCAAGUCGAACGUGCCUUCGGGCAAGUGGCAGACGGCUGAGUAACGCGUGAGUAACACACCCUCCGGUGGGGUAUAGCCUCGGGAAACUGAGGGUAAUCCCGCAUAAGAUCCCUAGACCCUGGUUUAGGGAUGAAAGCCUUCGGGCGCCGGAGGAGUGGCUCGCGUCCUAUCAGGUAGUUGGCGGGGUAACGGCCCACCAAGCCGAUGACGGGUAGCUGGUCUUAGAGGACGAUCAGCCAGAGGGGGACUGAGACACGGCCCCCACUCCUACGGGAGGCAGCAGCAGGGAAUUUUGGGCAAUGGACGAAAGUCUGACCCAGCGACGUCGCGUGGGGGAUGAAGGCUCUAGGGCUGUAAACCCCUUUUCCGAGGGAAGAGGAAGGACGGUACCUCGGGAAUAAGCUCCGGCUAACUACGUGCCAGCAGCCGCGGUAAUACGUAGGGAGCGAGCGUUACCCGGAAUUACUGGGCGUAAAGAGCACGUAGGCGGUUGGAUAAGUCCUCUGUGAAAGCUCCUGGCUCAACUGGGAGAGGUCAGGGGAUACUAUUCGACUUGAGGGCUGUAGAGGUAAGCGGAGUUCCCGGUGUAGCGGUGAAAUGCGUAGAUAUCGGGAGGAACACCAGCGGCGAAAGCGGCUUACUGGGCAGUGCCUGACGCUGAGGUGCGAGAGCGUGGGGAGCAAACUGGAUUAGAUACCCAGGUAGUCCACGCCCUAAACGAUGAAUACUAGAUAUAGGAGGUAUCGACCCCCCCUGUGUCGCAGCUAACGCGAUAAGUAUUCCGCCUGGGGAGUACGGCCGCAAGGUUA
rnacentral:rRNA from 1 species